GCAAGUCGAACGAGAAAGCACUUCGGUGUGAGUAAAGUGGCGCACGGGUGAGUAACGCGUAGGUGAUAUGCCUAUUAGUGGGGGACAACAUCGUGAAAACGGUGCUAAUACCGCAUAAGCUUGGUGACAUUAAAAAAGCCAAGGAAAGGGGGCUUCGGCUCUCGCUAGUAGAUUGGCCUGCGUAGCAUUAGCUUGUUGGUGGGGUAACGGCCUACCAAGGCUACGAUGCUUAACUGGUCUGAGAGGAUGAUC
rnacentral:rRNA from 1 species